rnacentral:rRNA from 1 species
GUCUAUGGCCAUGCCACCCUGAACAAGCCCGAUGUCUGAUCUCAGAAGCUAAUCAGGGUCAGGCCUGGUUAGUACUUGGAUGGAAGACCACCCAGGAAGACCAGGUGCUGUAGAUA